rnacentral:rRNA from 1 species
UACGUAGGGUGCAAGCGUUGUCCGGAAUUAUUGGGCGUAAAGAGCUCGUAGGCGGUUUGUCGCGUCUGCUGUGAAAACUCGGGGCUUAACCCCGGGCCUGCAGUGGGUACGGGCAGACUAGAGUGCGGUAGGGGAGACUGGAAUUCCUGGUGUAGCGGUGAAAUGCGCAGAUAUCAGGAGGAACACCAGUGGCGAAGGCGGCUUCCUGGACACCAACUGACGCUGAGACGCGAAAGCGUGGGGAGCAAACAGG